GAGUUUGAUCCUGGCUCAGGAUGAACGCUGGCGGCGUGCCUAAUACAUGCAAGUCGAGCGAACGGACGAGAAGCUUGCUUCUCUGAUGUUAGCGGCGGACGGGUGAGUAACACGUGGAUAACCUACCUAUAAGACUGGGAUAACUUCGGGAAACCGGAGCUAAUACCGGAUAAUAUUUUGAACCGCAUGGUUCAAAAGUGAAAGACGGUCUUGCUGUCACUUAUAGAUGGAUCCGCGCUGCAUUAGCUAGUUGGUAAGGUAACGGCUUACCAAGGCAACGAUGCAUAGCCGACCUGAGAGGGUGAUCGGCCACACUGGAACUGAGACACGGUCCAGACUCCUACGGGAGGCAGCAGUAGGGAAUCUUCCGCAAUGGGCGAAAGCCUGACGGAGCAACGCCGCGUGAGUGAUGAAGGUCUUCGGAUCGUAAAACUCUGUUAUUAGGGAAGAACAUAUGUGUAAGUAACUGUGCACAUCUUGACGGUACCUAAUCAGAAAGCCACGGCUAACUACGUGCCAGCAGCCGCGGUAAUACGUAGGUGGCAAGCGUUAUCCGGAAUUAUUGGGCGUAAAGCGCGCGUAGGCGGUUUUUUAAGUCUGAUGUGAAAGCCCACGGCUCAACCGUGGAGGGUCAUUGGAAACUGGAAAACUUGAGUGCAGAAGAGGAAAGUGGAAUUCCAUGUGUAGCGGUGAAAUGCGCAGAGAUAUGGAGGAACACCAGUGGCGAASGCGACUUUCUGGUCUGUAACUGACGCUGAUGUGCGAAAGCGUGGGGAUCAAACAGGAUUAGAUACCCUGGUAGUCCACGCCGUAAACGAUGAGUGCUAAGUGUUAGGGGGUUUCCGCCCCUUAGUGCUGCAGCUAACGCAUUAAGCACUCCGCCUGGGGAGUACGACCGCAAGGUUGAAACUCAAAGGAAUUGACGGGGACCCGCACAAGCGGUGGAGCAUGUGGUUUAAUUCGAAGCAACGCGAAGAACCUUACCAAAUCUUGACAUCCUUUGACAACUCUAGAGAUAGAGCUUUCCCCUUCGGGGGACAAAGUGACAGGUGGUGCAUGGUUGUCGUCAGCUCGUGUCGUGAGAUGUUGGGUUAAGUCCCGCAACGAGCGCAACCCUUAAGCUUAGUUGCCAUCAUUAAGUUGGGCACUCUAAGUCGACUGCCGGUGACAAACCGGAGGAAGGUGGGGAUGACGUCAAAUCAUCAUGCCCCUUAUGAUUUGGGCUACACACGUGCUACAAUGGACAAUACAAAGGGCAGCGAAACCGCGAGGUCAAGCAAAUCCCAUAAAGUUGUUCUCAGUUCGGAUUGUAGUCUGCAACUCGACUACAUGAAGCUGGAAUCGCUAGUAAUCGUAGAUCAGCAUGCUACGGUGAAUACGUUCCCGGGUCUUGUACACACCGCCCGUCACACCACGAGAGUUUGUAACACCCGAAGCCGGUGGAGUAACCUUUUAGGAGCUAGCCGUCGAAGGUGGGACAAAUGAUUGGGGUGAAGUCGUAACAAGGUAGCCGUAUCGGAAGGUGCGGCUGGAUCACCUCCUUUCUA
rnacentral:rRNA from 1 species